UCUGGAUGAAACCGAAUAAUGGCAAAAAAUAAUUCUCCAUAAAAUGAUGCAUCCUUUUAAACAUGGAUAUCCAACAACUUGCAAUAUAUUCAGAAUUUUGUUAAAAAAAUUUAAGUUUCCAUCUGCACUAUGGCAUUGUGGGUUACUGACCAAGUGAUUUGUGGAUGGGCGAGUACCAACCAAAAUUUACCAAACGGGAGGGAGGGCAGUAAGGGGGUCAGGACUUGUAGUGGGGGAUGAUAGGCAAUAAAAGGGGAAUAGGGACUGUAGUGGGUGCUUAGUGGCAAUAGUGAUGGGUUAGGGGCUGUAGUGGGUGCUUAGUGGCAAUAGUGGGGGGUUAGGACCUGUAGUAGGUGGUUAGAGGCACUAGUGGGGGGUUAGAACCUGUAGUAGGUGGUUAGAGGCAAUAUUGGGGGGUUAGUACCUGUAGUAGGUGGUUAGAGGCAAUAUUGGAGGGUUAGGACCUGUAGUAGGUGGUUAGAGGCAAUAGUCGGGGUUUGGGCCUGUAGUAGGUGGUUAGAGGCAAUAGUGGGGGUUAGGGCCUAUAGUAGGUGUUUAGAGGCAAUAGUGCGGGGUUAGGACCUGUUGUAGGUGGUUAGAGGCAAUAGUGGGGGGUUAGGACCUGUAGUAGGUGGUUAGAGGCAAUAUUGGAGGGUUAGGACCUGUAGUAGGUGGUUAGAGGCAAUAGUCGGGGUUUGGGCCUGUAGUAGGUGGUUAGAGGCAAUAGUGGGGGUUAGGGCCUAUAGUAGGUGGUUAGGGGCAAAGUGGGGGGUAGGACCUGUAGUAGGUGGUUAGGGGCAAAUAGUGGGGGUUAGGGAACCUAUAGUAGGUGGUUAGGGGCAAAGUGGGGGGUUAGGACCUGUAGUAGGUGGUUAGGGGCAAAGUGGGGGGGUUAGGACCUGUAAUAGGUGGUUAGAGGCAAUAGUGGGGGGUUAGAACCUGUAGUAGGUGGUUAGAGGUAAUAGUGGGGGGUUAGGACCUGUAGUAGGUGGUUAGAGGCAAUAGUGGGGGGGUUGGGACCUGUUGUAGGUGGUUAGUGGCAAUAGUGGGGAGGUUAGGACCUGUACUAGGUGGUUAGAGGCAAUAGUGGAGGGUUAGAACCUGUAGUAGGUGGUUAGAGGCAAUAGUGGAGGGUUACCUGUAGGUGGUUAGAGGCAAUAGUGGGGGGUUUGUAGGUGGUUAGAGGCAAUAGUGGGGUUAGGGCCUAUAGUAGGUGUUUAGAGGCAAUAGUGGGGGGUUAGGACCUGUUGUAGGUGGUUAGAGGCAAUAGUGGGGGGUUAGGACCUGUAGUAGGUGGUUAGAGGCAAUAUUGGAGGGUUAGGACCUGUAGUAGGUGGUUAGAGGCAAUAGUCGGGGUUUGGGCCUGUAGUAGGUGGUUAGAGGCAAUAGUGGGGGUUAGGGCCUAUAGUAGGUGGUUAGGGGCAAAGUGGGGGGUUAGGACCUGUAGUAGGUGGUUAGGGGCAAAGUGGGGGGGUUAGGACCUGUAAUAGGUGGUUAGAGGCAAUAGUGGGGGGUUAGAACCUGUAGUAGGUGGUUAGAGGUAAUAGUGGGGGGUUAGGACCUGUAGUAGGUGGUUAGAGGCAAUAGUGGGGGGGUUGGGACCUGUUGUAGGUGGUUAGUGGCAAUAGUGGGGAGGUUAGGACCUGUAGUAGGUGGUUAGAGGUAAUAGUGGGGGGUUAGGACCUGUAGUAGGUGGUUAGAGGCAAUAGUGGGGGGUUGGG
rnacentral:lncRNA from 1 species